rnacentral:tmRNA from 1 species
GGGGGUGACAUUGGUUUCGACGGGGUUAUUAGUUCUUUGAAUUGCACACCGUGUUCUCCGUAGACACGUUAAACGACGGUAAAAAAAAGUAAAUGGCGAAUAUAAUUACGCUCUCGCUGCGUAAAUAAACGCAGCCGUUCUUCAAUUCUACUCACGCUGGGGGUUGAAAGAACGUCGCACAGUGUGAUAGCCGAAUCGAACUUCCGGAUAGAUAAGGCGAAUCAAUUUUCGGAAUAGUCUAAUCAAAAUCUGUCUGUUGAUGUUGACUGGACGAAAUUAAAAAACAGACUAUGUGUGUAGAAGUUCAUCGGACGGUUUCUUCGGACCGGGGUUCGACUCCCCGCACCUCCACCA